GUGGUUUAAUUCGAUGCAACGCGAAAACCUUACCCACCUUUGACAUGGCAGGAAUCCCGAAGAGAUUUGGAGUGCUCGAAAGAGAACCUGCACACAGGUGCUGCAUGGCUGUCGUCAGCUCGUGUCGUGAGAUGUUGGGUUAAGUCCCGCAACGAGCGCAACCCUUGCCAUUAGUUGCUACGAAAGGGCACUCUAAUGGGACUGCCGGUGACAAACCGGAGGAAGGUGGGGAUGACGUCAAGUCCUCAUGGCCCUUAUAGUGGGGCUACACACGUCAUACAAUGGCCGGUACAGAGGGUAGCCAACCCGCGAGGGGGAGCCAAUCCCACAAAGCCGGUCGUAGUCCGGAUCGCAGUCUGCAACUCGACUGCGUGAAGUCGGAAUCGCUAGUAAUCGCGGACCAGCAUGUCGCGGUGAAUACGUUCCCGGGUCUU
rnacentral:rRNA from 1 species